rnacentral:rRNA from 1 species
GUUGAAUGGCCGCAGUAUUUUGACUGUGCGAAGGUAGCAUAAUAAUUAGUUUUUUAAUUGAAAGCUGGAAUGAAUGAUUGGACGAGAAAAAAUCUGUCUCAAUUUUAUUUAAUUAGAAUUUUAUUUUUAAGUAAAAAAGCUUAAAUAUUUUUAAAAGACGAGAAGACCCUAUAGAGUUUUAUAUAUUUAUUUUUUAUUUAUUUUUUAGUAUUAUAGAAUUUAUAUUAUUAAAUAGUAUUUAGUUGGGGUGAUUAAAAAAUUAAUAAAACUUUUUUUUUAUUAUUACAUUAAUAUAUGAUUAAUUGAUCCAUUUUUUAUGAUUAUAAGAUUAAAUUACCUUAGGGAUAACAGCGUUAUUUUUUUUUAGAGUUCUAAUCGAAAAAAAAGUUUGCGACCUCGAUGUUGGAUUAAAAUUAAUAUUUGGUGAAGAAGCUAAGUUAUUAGGUCUGUUCGACC